rnacentral:lncRNA from 1 species
GGGUGCAUUUAGGAUGCUCCUUUGAGCUUAGGGAGGAGGCAGCAGUGGUGAAAAGCUCUUGGUGUAGUCUUACAUUUCGUAGUGAAAGUUGAAAGGGAACAAACUUGAACUUGAAGGUCAAGGCUUGAACUGGCAAUUGAGCACCUGGUGAAAGGCUGUGGCUGCUAUGGAGCACAGGCAAAUUGUUUGCACCUGUGCUCCCCACACCACCAGAAGGGGUGAGCCCAGGGUGCAGCUCCUCUGGACUCAUAUAAAGGCCAGGCACUGAAUGGAGAACAUUUCUUGGAGCAGGGCUGCUCCCUGAGGGAGGAGUGCUGUACAGCCAGAGAGCCCAUUGACUACCUGGAGGCCGUGUGCUCUGGGUGCAGAGAGCACUCAAGUGCCUUUUGUGUACCUGAUGAGCAGAUCAGAAAGGCCAGCUUGGAAGUGGCCCUGAUGUGCAGUUUGGCUGUUCAUGAAGAUGCAGCUUCCAAGUGCUAUCUUAAAGAGUAGUUACGUCCAGGAGAGGUGAGGUUGUGACACAUCUAUGCCUACUGAAUUUGCACCAGCUUUACAGUUAAGGGCAAAAAAAGCACUUUUGGGCUUAGGUUAAGGCAUCUGCACAGCUUUGGUUUCAUCCUGAGGCAGCCACACAUCUGGCUAAGCAGAAUUUUCUAAAGCAUCUGUCCUCUUGUCUGUGCAAAAAUCAAUCUUCAGAUGAUAUCAGACUGUCUGAGAAGUCCCAGGUCUGUUGGUCUCAUUCUUUUGAAAGCCUAUCUUCUGGAAAUGAAACCUUCCACUGAAAGGCCUCCACCGGAUGGUUACAAUAAACUGCUUUAUUAAUUGGCGUUGCCGCAUGGCUGGCUGUGUGGCAGCCUGCUGGAAUAUGUGUCCACAGAGAAACCCCAUCCCUAGUUUGUAUUUCAUGUCGGCACUCAAAUGUUUCCUGGAUUCAUUUAUUUUCCAACAGUUUUUCUUUCUGUGCUGCAGUAUUGAAUCCUAUUUUGGGUUGCAGUGGGGUCUUUAAACUCUGUUCUCUCCUGUUUGCAUUUGUUUACUUUGCGGUAUAGGCUGUUGGUCUUUGAUUUUUGAAGUGUUUGUUUCUAUGUUUGAUGCUCUUAUGGUGCAUGUGUUUGUGAAAUUAGUGUUAUUUUUAUUGUGUGUAUUAGAUUAUGAUCAACAAAACAGCACUGUGGGAAACACUAAGCAGCACACGCUGCGUCAGGUUUGGGGUUUUCUUGUGUUUCUUUGUGUUCAAGCAACGUUUAGUAGUAGUAAGGCUUAGUGGGGGAAUACUGGUGGUGGGCGGUGAUGUUGGAGGUCUUCCCCAGCCUCGAUUCUUGUCAUUUGUUUGGCUGACUUACUACUCCAGCUCGCUCUGCCCGCGUUCUAUUUUUACUGCAGCUCGUAUUUGUUGUUGCGUAAUAAAAGCGAGCGCGCGUUAC